UACGAAGGGGGCUAGCGUUGUUCGGAAUUACUGGGCGUAAAGGGCGCGUAGGCGGCCUGCUAAGUCGAAUGUGAAAUCCCCGGGCUCAACCCGGGAACUGCGUCCGAUACUGGUAGGCUUGAAUUCAGGAGAGGGAUGCGGAAUUCCAGGUGUAGCGGUGAAAUGCGUAGAUAUCUGGAGGAACACCGGUGGCGAAGGCGGCAUCCUGGACCGACAUUGACGCUGAGGCGCGAAAGCCAGGGGAGCAAACGGG
rnacentral:rRNA from 1 species